UACGAAGGGUGCAAACGUUGCUCGGAAUUAUUGGGCGUAAAGCGCACGUAGGCGGCUUGGCAAGUCGGAUGUGAAAGCCCACGGCUCAACCAUGGAAGUGCAUCCGAAACUGCUGAGCUUGAGUACUUAAGAGGAUCGCGGAAUUCCCGGUGUAGAGGUGAAAUUCGUAGAUAUCGGGAGGAACACCGGUGGCGAAGGCGGGUCUCUGGGCCGAUAUUGACGCUGAGGAGCGAAAGCGUGGGGAGCGAACAGG
rnacentral:rRNA from 1 species